rnacentral:lncRNA from 1 species
ACUGUGGUAGUGGCGAGCUUUGUUCGUUUAUGAAGUUGUGAUGGCCUUCCUAUGCAUCCACAGAUGCAAGACAGCUGAAGAAGUUCUUUACAAUGUUAAAAGAGACCACGGUCACAUUUGAUUAGGCAUCAUUAGAGGGGUAGGAGCGCUUGAGCUUCGAUGUCCUUGUGUAUUGCAGUGUCUCCGAGUUUUGACUCAAAUUGGAUUGGUGCGGUGUUGCUCUAAUCUAAAUUCUGUGGCAACUCAAGUAUGAUCAGAGCACCAGGAGCAGCAGCGUCCAAAUUGAGAAAGAAAUACCAUUUUUGAGCUAAUAAGUUGUUAGAUGAUCAUUGAAACUGGUUAAAGAAGGAAAAAGAGCAUGCUGUAUCUAUGUAAGCAUACGCUUAUUAGUUCUUUUACAAAUCUCUUCUCCCACCAAUAGAAAUUCUAUCAGACUCUUUUUAGAUUUGAUAGAGUAAUUCUAUCUGACUUCAGUGCUAUCCAACCAGGUCAAUAUUCUUCUUAAAUGGAAUUGCUAGCAUCAUGGUGCUACUCAUAGUCUCAUGAGAUCAUGCUGGCAUGUCUUUAUGUCAUUUGUGGUGCAUACGAGGGAAUUAUUAGAUAUGUUUCUUUUUGUUUUUAAAUGUGUCCGAGAAAUUUUUAGAGUUUUUGGCAAUAAAGAUUGUGUUUUACUGCGGUGUUCCGCGGAAAUCUUACUAAUUUUUUUUAGAGCCUGAUGUGGUGAUGGUAAUCAAUUAUUAAUAAACAAAAGUUCAGGAUCAUUCAAAAAAUAACCGGUUGCUAAGUGGAAGUAUGCAGCACAAAUGCCGUAGUCAUUGAGAAGUGAAGGGGUAGUUCCUACGUGUUAUUCAAAGAGAAGGGGUAGUUCCUAUAAGAAAAUGGAGAGGGAGGGAGGGAGGGAGAGAGGGGUUCAUCUCUCCCACGUCUUGCCUUCAUUCAUUCUCUCAUCCCUGUCUUGUCCCGCCUCGGCCGUCUCCUGUGCCUUCAACCUCUUUGCUCUUAGUAGCUCCUCUCCACUGAUUUUUGACCUCAUCCUCUCUAUCAGCAUCUUUAGCUACAAGAUGCGCCCUAUCAUGACCAUAUCGCCGCUGCCAUCCUCUAUGGAUCUAAUGCCGUUGCUGAGAUCUCCCUCCUAUCGGAAAGGGGACCACCACCACCAUUCUGAUUCACAUGAUGGCAGUGGCAGAUUAUGUUGAGGCUAAUGUUGCCAAGGAGAUCACCGCUGAUUGUAGCUACAAUGAUGACAUCAUUAAUUUUCAAGUUAGGGUUUCAAUCAAGAUUAAAUUGUAGGCCAAAGAAGAUAGUGGUGGUGGGGGCAUUGAAGGAUUGGUGAUAUACCAAACAACACCUUACAGUAUUUUAUCGAGACAUUAGGAUGGAUCCUGGCAUUGAUAAUCCGGUCAUCGGAAUGAUAUGAGCACUAAAGUAAUGUGCAAAUAUUAUAGUAAUAUAUAAUUAUUGUAUUUGAUAUAUUAUUAAAAUAUCACUAGAAAUAGAACUUUAUUGUGUUUAGUAUACCACUAAGUAAUACUAGUAAUGAUAUAUAAAAUACCAUAAGUAGCCAUAUAUAUUAGUAUAUAAUAAUUAGUUUAUAACUUGAUUAAAUAUUCUUUAUUUACAGCUUCUUACAAAAAUUUAUAAUAGUAGUAAUAGUAAUAAUCAUAUUUAUUAUUAUUACAGAUAUCUAUUAGGCUAUUAAUAUGAUAUGAUGGUAAUAUUAUAUAUAAUCAAGCUUAGUUAGGUUUAGCCAAUUUUGACCAUCAAUAUCAAGAUAUUGUUGAAGAUGAAAGAUCAAAAAAAAGAAAGACAUAAAGAGAAUUUUUUUUCUAUCCAAUUUAAUAAUUAAAAAUAUUUUUAUCUUAAAAUAACUUCAGUACCUAUCAAACAGCAUCUAAAAAUAUAUUAUAGCAAGAUCCAUAAAAAUUUCAUUGCUUUCAUGUCAAAAUAAAGUGAAUAAAUUGCAACAAUCUUUCUUAAGAUUUAAGAUAAUUAUAAAUUUUGAUUUAUUAUUUUAGAAAUAUGUAUUUCACUAUUUAACUUUUACUAUAUAUAUAUAUAUAUAUAUAUAUAUAUAUAUAUNNNNNNNNNNNNNNNNNNNNNNNNNNNNNNNNNNNNNNNNNNNNNNNNNNNNNNNNNNNNNNNNNNNNNNNNNNNNNNNNNNNNNNNNNNNNNNNNNNNNNNNNNNNNNNNNNNNNNNNNNNNNNNNNNNNNNNNNNNNNNNNNNNNNNNNNNNNNNNNNNNNNNNNNNNNNNNNNNNNNNNNNNNNNNNNNNNNNNNNNNNNNNUAUAUAUAUAUAUAUAUAUUAUAUAUAUAUAUAUAUUAUAUAUAUAUAUAUAUAUAUAUAUAUAUAUAUAUAUAUAUAUAUAUAUAUAUAUAUAUAUAUAUAUAUAUGAUGUAUAACUUUCUAUCAAUAUCUUUCUAUUAAAUAGAUUAAUAGUGUUACUGGCAUCAUCGCCGUAAGAUUUUUAAAAUAGCUUAUAUUUUUUAUUUUGAUUUCUUUUAUUUUUAAAUUUUAAAUUUUUAUAUUUGAUUGGGGUUACGAAAAUAUUAAAUGGGAUUAUGUAAUUAUCUCAAAAUUUGAAAGGGUCAAGAUAAUUUACUCAUAUAAAAUUAAAAAAUAAUAAAAUUUCAUGCAAAAUGCUUGGAUAAAAGACGAGGACAACAACCACACCCAAGUCCCAACAGGUAUUUCAUAUUAACUAUGACUUUUGUUAUAAUUUUUAAGUGUUGCGUGCUGUUUGGCGUUUUUGUUAACCCCAUUGACCAAUAAGCCCCUUUAGUAUAUUGACAACACUAGUGCAAGUAGGUGAUUAUUUGGUGAAAUUGAUAUAGAAAAAUAUUUAUUGUUAAAUUUUUAGCUGCCAAACCUGCAACGGACUUUACAAAAAAAAUUCCUCCAAUUGCCACGUGCCCUAUGGCAUGGAGACCUCGUUUGGCGUAUUUGUUGGGCUUCGUAGAUUUUAUCCCUUAUCACGUCUUGGAUUAGUCCAAGGUGGGGUAGGGUAAUAAGCGCGGGGACGGUGAGCUAGGCGCACGCUGACCGUCGGUGAGCUUUAAAAGAGUAAAGUGCCGUCUCUUGCGACCAACAGUGCUGAUGGUGGCAGUGGUGGGGCCACGUACGGUUGCCAGCUAAUCUUACCCUUGUCCCUUGGACAAGAGUUAACUAACGGAUCCGUUAGCGCCGGUGGUUUUGAAAUCCGGACAGCUUGCAAGGAGUUUGCUUACAAGGCAUCGGUUUGAUGGACGUGUGGCCCAAGGAAGAACAAGCGGUCAACCCAACUAAGCUCCUAUUUUACCGCGAACAAGUGGGUUAGAUCCAAUCCCCGGACCCAAGCUCCUAUGUACACAAGUCUGCGAUGUGUCUAAGUCCGGACAGAGGCCCAACCCAAUGUAUCCGGGUUUUAUACGUUUAUUUUAUUUUUAUUUUUUAUGAAAAAAUAUUUUUUUUUGAAUUGCAAAAGAGUUAAAGAUCCGACAACAACAACUAAAAAACUGUCAGCCAAAAUAAGAAUCUUUAUUUCAAUAGGAAGCAAGGUGACAGAAUGAAAAUCAACCGAACAUUAUAGCCGAGCUAAUCCAUCAACAGGUUGAUUGGCUUCACAAAAAAACAUAAGAUAUCAAGAAAAAAAAUUAGGGAGUGUAAACAAAAUUUAAUGUCAGCAAGAAGAGGGUGCCAAAAUUGUUCGUCAAAUUUAAGUAAUCUAUCUUGGUGAAGAUUUGAGAUUCAUUUGACUACUACAACGGAAUCUUCUUUCCAUUGAAGGGAUUUGGAUUCAAACUGAAAAAUAGUGAUGAUAAGAAGAUAUUUUCAGACUGCAUGAAGCUCAACAAGUAAUACUAAAAGGGUUUGGAUUUUUCUCAAGAUCGAAAAUAAGGUAUUUCUAUGAUAGCCUCUAAUAAUAUAGCCAAUAUUUGCUCAAUAUUUAUCCAAUAAGUAUCAAAAUUCAUUUUCAUCAAACCACGGGAAAGGGAUAUCUAAUAAACCAAUUGAUGACGAGGGUUAGAACUCAUAAAGCCACCGAUAUUCCAGUGCCGCAGAUCAUUUGUAUUGGAUCUAUUGUCCAGCUUGCUGAAGUAUCAAGAUCGUAGGCUCGUUGAUAUAUUGAACUUGGACUCAGUUAGCACGUAUUGAACUUGGACUCAGUUAGCACGGGAAGUAUUUUAUUAGGAAAAAAAAGAGGACUGGCGGUCAUCGGUAGUUUGAAUUUAUUAUCGAGCUGUGUCUCUUCGUCGAAAAGUCGCUGCUUCUAUCUUUAUUUAUCUGUUAAAAUUUCUCCUCUCCUUUUCCAGUUUUCCCCAAUCCCAGUCUCCUCCUCUCUAUCUACACACUCUCUCUCUAGUCGCUCUUUCUCUCUCCUCGAUAAAACCCUAGAAACCUAGCGAGGGUUCGCCGCCCUCGAAAUCCUAGAUCAUGAAGGGCCCGAAGCCGUUGAAGCAGCUCAAGGUCGCCGUGCCGGCCCAAGAAACCCCUGUCGACAAGUUCUUGUAAGCAUUCCUCCAAGAUUCAUCUCUUCCUCUGUUUCUUUCGAGAGAUCCAAGCUAAUUUUUUCUUCCCCUCCCUUCCGGGUUUUUGCUGGUCGAAAUUUGCGUUCAAAAUCGAGUCGAAGCUGCUCUGUUCUCUCAGGAUUCUUUAAUGGCUUUGCAAAUAUGGCCCAAUCAUUUUUUCAAGAUUCUUUAUGGGUUUGAUCGUGAGAAAAUUGGGGAUUUUGGGAUUUCAGGACAGCGAGCGGGACGUUCACGGACGGAGGCUUGCGGCUGAAUCAGAGAGGGUUGCGGUUGAUCUCUGAACAAACCGAGAAUCGCGUAAACUCAUCUUGAUUUCUUUCUUCUUUUCUUGAAUUAUACUUGAAUUAUCAUUUUUAAUGUUUAAGUUGCAGUAUUGCAGCAACACAGAGAGAAGCUUAUGCUUUGAAUUCAUUACGUUAGAUUCUGAAGUCCUACAGAGUUCUUUAUGCUGACAUCACGAUUUAUAAACACUUUUAACUUUGUUAGCUCAAUCGUAGGAAUCAGCACAAAUCUUGAAGUUUUAUGUAUUCUUCUUAAACCUUCUUUUCUUUUUUGAUUUUCCUUAAGACUAGUUUAUAACUAGUAAUUUAGCAAAGAAUUGUAUAGGUUAUAAUGCUUCUGAGAAUUAAAAGAGCAUGCUCAGGACUAGUUGCAUGAAGAAAUUGAAUAAUGUGAGACCGUAUCAGGAUUGUAAAGAAGUUAGUAAGAGAAUUUCAGGUUAUAAUCAUACUGAUGAACUAUCCUUUUGCACGUUUGGAGUACAAAGAUGCUAGGUAGACUCCAAAUGAAGAAAAAGGGAUGCCUAGAGAAGAUUAUAUGAUAAAAAUCAAACCAGAUAAAGUAACACUGUUGGAGGCUGGUUAAUGAGAGCAAAAGUUUAGGUGGAUAAUGGCUGAAUCAAAUCAAUGCCUGCUGAAAGAAAAGGCAAGGGAUGGAAGUUCAGUUAUAAGCAUGUCUGUCAGUAAGCAAUACUUUUGGUGGAUUCCAGAAUGCAGAGCAUCGAGAGAAGAAUAUGGAAAAACUCACACUAGAUACUAAUUUUGACACGACUAAUAAGGAAUUGUAUAAGAGAGUACCUAUUGCUUCGUUCAUAUUGGAAAUCUUAAUACCAAGAUUAACAAUUUUUUUAAUAUAUAGAAUUUGACACCAAUUUGAUUUGCUUAUCUAUUUUUUGGAGAUAAUGUGCUUCAUAAUAUCGUGCAUUUGCUUUGUUAGCAUACAAAAUUUGACACCAAUUUAAUCUACGUAUCUGAAUCUUUUGGGAUAUUAUGCUUCACAAUAUCUUGCAUUGUCGUUAUUGUAGGGUACACUUUUGGAGAGCAAAUUAAGAGAAGACUAAUGUGCUUAGUACAUGGCUAUUAUUGCCUCUGUUUUUAUGUUAUUUGUGAUUGCUAAAGAAGACAUCAAAGUUCGGACUUUUAUAUCAUGCCUAUUGAGUGCAAAGUAUGGAACAGCACAAAAAUCCCAAAAUUGCAGGACUAGGAGAGAUGGGGGCCUCUUUGAUCCUCUUGAGCUAUGAUCCUGUCCUUUAGCAUGAUGCCAUAAUGAAUGCAUUGACUUCAUUUUGUUCCCUGAGCUUGAUCUUUUAUGAUCAAUUGCUGGAUUCAGAUGUCAAUUCCUUGUGAUGCUUGGAGUCUUCAAAGAUAAACUCAAAAUUGCUAACAGGUGCAUGUUGAUGCAUCAUCUAAAUUGGCUGACAGGAUUUUUUAUCAAGAUGGCCGAGACAAUUACUAACAUUCAUCUAUUUUUGAACCUUGUCAUCAUCAUUUAUACUGCAGACACUGCAAUUUUCGUCGGAUUUGCUUUGGUAAAAAGUGGAUGAAACAUUUUCAUAUUGGCCAUGUAUUUUGAAACUUGAACAUUAAAGUAAUCAAGCUUAAAAGGGCUUUUCGCUGAUCUAUUAUUUUUCUUCCUUUUCUAUUUUCUUUUGUUCUUGGUAGCCUUUGAAUUCUGAUUCUGUAACUCUCUAGCUACUUAGUUUUUCUUUAAGUUAUACUUUUGUCAUGAUGAUAGUUAUAUAUGCUCUACUAAUGUCUAGUGUAUAGAGUAGCACCAAUGAUGUACAGAGAGCUUUAUCUUAUACAUAAUUGACUAGAUUUGUACAAAAUAAUGAUUAAAAGCUACAUCAAUGUCAGAGGAGGAAUAUAUAGGCCCGAUGAUUUGAUUCUUUUGAGUUCUUCUAUCAGUUUUACUCUUUAAAUGCUACCUUUGACAUUAUGCUUAUAGGUGUCACUGAUUUUGGCUUAGCAAAUCUCUGCCUAUCUUUUCUUAGUAAAAAUAUGUGCUUCCAAAUUUUCUAUUUUUAAAUUUCAAUGCUAUUUUUACAAUGCAUGGAUAGUUGAAUAAUAAAUAGAGUUUAGGAUAAUAUGUUUACUGUAGCAAAGUGAGAAUGUUAAAAUGGAUAUGCGUUAAUUGUAGAGGGAAACGAUUGUGAAAUUACUGUACUAGAGGAGUUGUUGGAGUUGCAAAAAUUAAGGAUGAAGUGAUGGAAAAUCUGUUUAAAAGUUAUGGGCACCUACAAUAAAGAUUUAAGAGGGCUCCAAUAAGAAGAGGAACUUUAGUUUGUUCUGAAGGAUGUAGGAGGAGGGACGGUUGUUUUAAGGAUGUAAAAGAAGAGAAGAUCUAAGGUUACACAGAUGGAGAUUGUGAGAAAGGAUAUGGAAAGCUUGAAACAAUAUUAGAGGUGGCCCUAGAUAGAAAUUCUUGGUGAAUGAGGAUCCAAAAAGCAAUUCUGAAAUAAUUGGGAUAAGGCUUGAUGGUUAUCAUUAUGACUUCAUGCAUGCAUAGAUGCAAGAUCGGUGCUAGCUUGAUCACUUUCUUAUUUUGGUUCAAAUGAAGUUUCUAGUUAUCCAUAAGUUUUCAAUUAAAAAAGAUGGCCUAAUGCACGAGGCUUCUACCAUCAGUGGGGUCUGGGGAGGGUCAGAUAUACAAAGCCUUGCUCCCACGUGUGGAGAGUUUGUUUUCAUGUUUCAAACUUGUGAUCUCCAUGUUACAGUGAGCAACCUUACUAUUGUGCCAAGGCUCAUCUUCAUCCAUAGUUUUGCAAUGAUAGAUAAAAUAUUUUUGAAAUCAAUUAAAUUGUAUUUGGCACGGGCUUCAACCUUUAUUGAGCUCUAACUCUUCGUUUUACCUUUUUUAGAUCCUAUCCGUAACAAUUAUCACUUGUAUCCAUCUAUUGUGAAGCAAUCGUCCAUUUUUCUUUUCUUCUUCUUUUUGGUGAUAUUUAUCUUUAUGCUUGGUUUUUUCCUUCUUAGGUGCGGCAACCAGAUGUUAAGGAGGAGGAUAUGCAGUUCUCGUUGGAAGACCUUGAGACCAUUAAAGUUAUUGGGAAGGGGAGUGGAGGUGUUGUUCAGCUUGUGCGGCACAAAUGGUUGGGAACACUCUAUGCCCUAAAGGUAGAGAAGUAAUAAUGAUGUUUUUAUCUAAUAUCUUGUUUAUCUGUUUCUUGUGUAUAUUUGGAAAAGAGUGUGUAACUUUAUGUGAAGAUAAGAUUAGAAGGAUUAGUAGAUUCUCAUCUGAAGGCACUGAUCAGUACAUUCUCAUCCCUAUGUCUUUCUGCAAUGUUCAGUCUCUCAUUAUUUACAGAGUGAGAUUGAGCUAACCUUAGGGCAUAUUCUUGUGUAUAUUAUGACUUUAUGGCCAGACAAUUUUGCUAAUGCAAUCACACCCUUUAUCUCAGUAUUCUUAAUUCCAGCCAACCAAAUUUGUCGGUACCUUCCAUCUUUCAAGAAAGGCUUCCCUCUAGAAGAGUAAACUGGAUGAGGUUCAUGAAGUCCUGACAAAGAAAAGGACUGGUAUGCAGCUAGAUGGAGGGUGGGACCUGCAAGAUUUUUCUGGAAGCUGUUGUGGUGGAUUUCAAACUGCUUCACUCAUGCAAUUCUGCCACAAUGUCUGUUUGUAGAGUUGAAGAAUAUGUAUAAUAUUAAUUUUGGUAUGAUUUGAAUGUGGAAUUACAUGUUAGCCCUCUUCGCUUCAUCCUUAUUUCAUCAACAAAACUGUGAGAGUAGGCUAAUUGUAAAGGCUGAAAAUGCUCAAUAGGGGUAAGAAAAUUUUGAAAAUAUCCUGAUCUUUGAUAACAUGCCUUCAGUUUUUCUUUUUGUGCAGCUGAAAGAUAUUAUGAACAAAGAACAGAAUGUUUCUUAAAAUAGGGAUUAUCCUCGGGUUUAUAAAAUUGCAUAUGCAACACGCUAGGACAUAUUGCUUGCCUGACACUUGCAUGUAGUAUAGCUGCUUUAAAGAUUUCUGGCUGGUCUUAGUAAUCAGUGGGAAACUAAGGCCCUGAAUCCAUAUCUGUUUUCCCCAAAUAGCAUUACAUAGGGCACAAUGAAUUGAUGUUAAGACAUUGCAUUUUGCAGGGCAUUCAGAUGAAUAUUCAAGAGACAGUUCGUAAACAAAUAGUUCAAGAGCUUAAAAUAAAUCAAGCAUCACAGUGUCCACAUGUUGUUGUUUGUUACCAUUCUUUCUACCAUAAUGGUGUAAUUUCUCUUGUCCUGGAAUACAUGGAUCGAGGAUCUCUGGCUGAUGUAAUUAAACAAGUGAAAACAAUUCUUGAGCCAUAUCUUUCAGUUGUUUGCAAACAGGCAAGGAUAACUUACAGAUCUACAAUAUGUAUGCUUCUACGCAGCUGGCAGCUCAUAAUGUGUUUGAUGACGUCAUGUUUUCUCUUUGGCGUUCAGGUUUUGAAGGGUUUAGUAUACCUGCACCAUGAAAGACAUGUGAUUCACAGAGACAUAAAACCAUCAAACUUGUUAGUAAAUAACAAAGGUGAGGUAAAGAUAACGGAUUUUGGAGUGAGCGCGGUGCUUGCUAACUCCAUGGGUCAACGAGAUACAUUUGUAGGCACCUACAAUUAUAUGUCGGUAUGUUGAUCUGCUCUCUGAUAAUCCUCAUAUUAAUUUGAUGAUAUGACUAUUUUAUCACUUCUAUUACUUUAACCAUUCUAGUAGUUUUGUUGCUUUUUCCUUCAAAACAUAAUUGACCUUAUUAACUGAUACUACAUCAUUGUUUACCAUUUUUGCUGCCAGCCUGAGCGGAUCAGUGGAAGCUCAUAUGAUUAUAAGAGUGACAUUUGGAGUUUGGGCUUGGUAAUACUUGAGUGUGCUAUAGGCUGCUUUCCUUAUAUACCAUCUGAACAAGAGGAAGGUUGGCCAAGCUUUUAUGAGCUUUUGGAGGCUAUUGUGGAUCAGCCACCACCUUCUGCCCCAUCAGAUCAAUUUUCUCCAGAGUUUUGUUCGUUUAUAUCAGCUUGGUAUGUUAGUGCUCUUGCAUCAAGCCGUUGUGUUGCUUUUAUUGCAUUGUCGCAUGCUAUCAUAUGGCUGAACCUUUUAGAUUCAUAUUGUUACAAAAUUUUGCUAGCAUGGAGUAUGCUAAUUUUCACUUUUCAGUUUUUACAAAUUACUCUUGUAGAGUUUUUUUAUCUGCUGUUUCUAACCUUUUUUUGAAAAAAAGAAUAGAAGCAUUCACCCAAAAAGCUUCAAUGAUUGGUCAUAUCACAUUUUCUUUAUCUUAUUACUACUUGUAUCUUUUUUUUUUAUAAAUAAUUUCAGACCUCAUCAUAGCUGAUGAACAUCAAUUGAAUCUUAUCUCUCAUUUUCUUUGAGAAUCAUUAUAUGUUUGUUUUCUUUUUCAAUAUAUAAAAAGGAAUUAGAGUCUGUUUGUAAAAUGGGAUGAAUGUUAAACAUAUUGGUAGUAAAGGCAUAUUUGAAGCUACACAGGACCAUAUCUUGCUGUUGAUAUUAUUGCCACAUGCUCUAUCAGUUAAAAACCUUAUAGAGAUCUACCAAAAAAGAAAUGCACUUAUGAAGGAUUUACCAUCUUUCCAUGAUAUUCACCUGCCACCUUCAUCUUCCUCUGCAUGCUUAAAGAUUAGUGGAAAUGAUGUCUCUUCAAAGGCAAUGUUUUGCUAUAUAAAAAUGAUGUUUUCAGCAUAUUAAUAUUGAAGGCUCUUUGCAUCCUUUUUGAUCAAUUAUCUCUUGCUCUGUGACAUUUGGAUUGCUCCGUUGUUCCAUAAAGAUAUUGUUUUUCUUCAGGCUUCACUAGAUCUGCAAACAGUUUCAGAUCUUAUCCCUUGUAUGUUUUAUAAGGUGAGUUGAAAAGCAUAGUGGUCCUGCCUGUACAUUCGUCUGAUUUAAAUUGCUCAUCUUGGUUGUCUAUAAGCCUGUUUUCCUCGUGCAGCUCUGAAUGCCAUCUGUUCGAACCAUGAUCAUGGCAAAAAAUCCUUUCAUCUCUUAUUAAGUACCUUUAAUUGUCGGGUUAUACCAUUACGCAAGUUGAGCCUCUUCUUGAAAUCCUGAGGUCUUGGGCGUAUUUGGAUUGAUCUGAUAGUUACAGAUUUGAUUCAGACAUAGAAGAGCAAAUUUUAGAAUAUGUUCAUAGUGUUUUUUCAUGAUAGCAGUAGAAAAUGCAAAUACAUGAAUACAGCCACACCGAGGCAGCUCAGCUCAUAUUUUUAUGUGACUCAAGGUUACAAUUCCUCAUUUCACACUUUUAAGUAACACUUAACAUAUUAUAAUAAUUCUUCCUAAUUCCAUUUAUAGAAACCCUCCAAUAGUUUGGAAUCCAUAUCAUCCUUGGCAUCUAUCUAGUCUUGGGCUGUGGUGAUUAAAUGUCUUGUUCUAUUUGUUUGAGUAAUCAACUCUCUCUAAAAUUGGGGAUUAAACGUUUUUAUAAGUAUAAAGCAUCCUUUCAGAUUCUAUUGUCGAGGGAUUUGAGCCAUUCAACCUCAUAAUGUUUACCAUAUUAUUAGAUGAUGAGCUUGAAACCCUUGUUGAAACAUACUUAGAAAAUGACUCAAAUGCAACCUCUGAUAAAUAUUUAUGGGAUUCCCUGGAGUCCACUUUCUCUUUUUGCAGUCUAUCUGAAAGUUUUUUUUAUCAGUUUUGUGGACCACAAAGAAUCAUCUCAGUGAUGCAAUUAGACAUUUAAGUGUCCUUGCACGUGGACCACCACUGACUGAGUUUUAUACGAGUACAUAUCAUCUAAUGAGCUAAUCUUUUCUUAACGCCUUUUGAAAAAAAUCCAGGCAAUACUAAAUCUGUUAUUUUAUCAGUUUUGUGGACUAAUUUAUUGAAGACAUUUUUGUCGUAUUAUUGUCUGUGUCUGAGUGGUGACUAGCUUGUCUUAAUUCUAGAUAGUUCAUGAAAUUAAAACAGUUAAAUUUACAACUCUACUAUCUUGACUGUAUGCUUGUGCGUGCAUGUGUGCAUAUGCCCUUUUUGUGUUUUUUUGUCGGCAUGCAUGCAUUGGCAUGCGGGUGUGUGUGGCUACUCUGAAUCAUCACCAUGCAUAUGCAUUUUAAUUUAUCUCCAUUUUAAAUAUUCUGAACCGGAUUCCUGCAGAUGUCUAUGCAGUACUUUUGGGUCAUUAACAUACAUACUUAUUGUUAUUUUGUCUCAAUUUAAACCAAAUGUACUGAAUUUGAUUCCUUUGGAUGUUUUCGCAAUUUGUGAUGUUUUCUGAAUCUGCACCCCUUUUUUUUGGGUAAAUGCAAGUUUAAUUUAUAAGCUGCUACACAACAUUUUUUUGAUCAUCACCUGUGGCAGCUUUAUCGAUCAUCAUUCGGAGAUGUAUCUCAAAAAUUAGAAAAACUGUGGCUUUGGGCAAAUCUUAAUACUGCUUAAGUUACACAAAUCAUACUCUUGCUGUGCUUUAUCUAAUUGUAUUUGUAGAUUCAAAUGAAGUAGUUGUUAAUUGCUUUUGUUAUUCUGUUUUUUGCUGCAAGUUUGACCACACUAAAUUUUACCCCUCACCAAAGUCAUAUAAUAUGUGGAAAAAAAAAAAUUAUUCCUGUUUUGUUUCCUGUCUGCAGCAUACAAAAGGAUCCUCAUGAAAGAAUGUCGUCUUUGGAGCUCUUGGUCGGUAUCAUUUUCAGUUUUUGCAGCAAUUUUUAUCUUAAACAAUUUUAUUGUGCUUGUUACUGAAUCCCUUCACCUGGUUCCAGAAUCAUCCAUUCAUCAAAAAGUUUGAGGAGAAAGACAUUGAUCUGGCAAUCCUUGUUGGCAGCUUAGAUCCUCCUGUAGAUGUACCUGGUGAUGUGUAAUUAUGUGAUGGUUUCUGCAUAAUGUAAAAUAACAACGGGAGCUAAAGAUGUUGCCAGUUCACUUUGCCCUCCUGCAGCUCUCUGGUUUGUUGCUGCUCUAGUUGAAGUCAUGCAUAUACUCUGCAUGAGAUUCACGCGAGCAUCCACGGAGGUGCGUAAAUGUACCACUUAGUUCUCCAGCAAAGAGCUAUUAAAAUCCAUAUUGCGAUGUCAAUCGCUACGCAGUAAUAUAUGCGGAUCCAGCCACGGUCAAAAAAUUGGCAAUUUAUAUUCCAAUCAAACGCAAAACAUGUAAGCAGUGGAGUAUAAUUUAUCAGAAAGACUCGCUAGGAUUGGAUCUGGAACAUCUGAGUGCAACAUAAGAAAUUUUUAUAUUUCUUGUUGCACUGAACUUGUUUUUAUCUAAAAAAUCCCACCAUUUGAUCGUAUCAGGAUUAUUUGAUGUGUGGAUCAUACUCAUUUGCACCAGCUGAACGUUUUUUCUGGUGAUUUCUUAGUUGCUAAAUCAUUCUAUUACUGGGCUUUGUCUCCUGCUAAAUUACAUCUAGGAGAAUGGUAACUUAAGGCAGCUGAUACAGCGGAACCAUUUCCAAUGAAUAACAGACGAUCCUAUGCGCUCGUGAAUUGUUGGGCCUUCCCUGAAAAUUACUGUAAAAUGGAUUGAGAUGGAGUCAAUAUGGUCGGUGCUCCUUUCAUUUAUCGUCGUAUUGGUAGAGAAAGGGUUCUUGCUUUUGGAAUAUUUACCAAGCAUCAAGAUGAUAACAUCACCCUUAUGUGUGGCUGACAAGAAGCAGCACCAACUGUUUAUCAACAAUCAUCAUUAGAGAAUCAAACUAAUUUUGUAAGUUAUGGUCAACUUAUGGGCUAUUCACGUCGAAUUUUUAAACCUAUCUGCAGAU